AUUGAACGCUGGCGGCAGGCUUAACACAUGCAAGUCGAGCGGGGUGAUGGUGCUUGCACUAUCACUUAGCGGCGGACGGGUGAGUAAUGCUUAGGAAUCUGCCUAUUAGUGGGGGACAACAUCUCGAAAGGGAUGCUGAUACCGCAUACGUCCUACGGGAGAAAGCAGGGGAUCACUUGUGACCUUGCGCUAAUAGAUGAGCCUAAGUCGGAUUAGCUAGUUGGUGGGGUAAAGGCCUACCAAGGCGACGAUCUGUAGCGGGUCUGAGAGGAUGAUCCGCCAAACUGGGACUGAGACACGGCCCAGACUCCUACGGGAGGCAGCAGUGGGGAAUAUUGGACAAUGGGGGGAACCCUGAUCCAGCCAUGCCGCGUGUGUGAAGAAGGCCUUAUGGUUGUAAAGCACUUUAAGCGAGGAGGAGGCUCUUUUGGUUAAUACCCAAGAUGAGUGGACGUUACUCGCAGAAUAAGCACCGGCUAACUCUGUGCCAGCCGCCGCCGUAACAC
rnacentral:rRNA from 1 species